rnacentral:rRNA from 1 species
GACGUAGGGCGCGAGCGUUGUCCGGAUCUAUUGGGCGUAAAGAGCUCGUAGGCGGCUCGUUGCGUCGGCUGUGAAAACCCGCAGCUCAACUGUGGGCUUGCAGCUGAUACGGGCGGGCUGGAGUUCGGUAGGGGAGACUGGAAUUCCUGGUGUAGCGGUGAAAUGCGCAGAUAUCAGGAGGAACACCGGUGGCGAAGGCGGGUCUCUGGGCCGAUACUGACGCUGAGGAGCGAAAGCGUGGGGAGCGAACAGG